CAGGACUGUCGCUCCUACGUAAUUUUACAAAUCAAAAUCUCUAAAACAGAGGUUUCACCAGACUACAUGCACCCACUGAGUGACUGCAUGACCUAGCCCGGCUACAACAGAGUUGUCUACUUCAUUCUUCUUGGCAGCACAUGAUAUAACAUAACACAAAAUGCUGCGUCUCCUGACAUUUCUCCAUAACAACACAACCUUAGUUGGUGCUUGCCUUCUCCGACCAUCAAGGCUCAGUGCUGGGGUGACGAACAGAUGGCAGAUAAAGCAGGUUGCCGCGUCUACUGAUGUGCGAUCGCACAUCAAUGGCACAUCAUCUACUUACGUGGAACAGAUGUAUGAGCAGUGGCUGACAAACCCUGCAUCUGUUCAUGAGUCGUGGAAUGUGUUUUUCCACCAACAAGUUGAGCCGAAGGUUGGAGAGCCUGCACAAAUAGGAACACCAUUGCACGCAUUUGACCCUGAAAACCCCCCACAACAGGUGGCAGCAUCAUCGGUUGCUGCAAACGAGACGCGCACGAUAGAUGAGCAUCUGGCCGUGCAAGCUAUAAUACGAGCAUAUCAGGUACAGGGUGCAUGUGAUCUUAUACAGCUCCGAUA